rnacentral:lncRNA from 1 species
UACAUAAUACAACUAUCUUCUGUUAUACGCGUUUUACUAGUUAAAGGGAAAAGUCCACUGGGCCAUAUUGGGUCGAUAUUAACAUUGUAUGUAACCGGGUUUUGUACAUGGGCUUAGGGUACUUAGCAUGCUUGUAUAUAAGGCAUUUGCCGUCGUUACUUGCCGUCGUUACUUGUUGAAAAAGAAGGAAUAUGACACACUGCUGAACCUUCUUGACAAAGUCAAAUUUACAACAUCUGAUUGUGCAUAUAUAUAUUAUGAAAUAUGAUUUUCUAUAUUAGAAAGCACAACACAUAGUUCUGAUAUAACUUAUUUUUAUAAUAAUAUUAUGUGUAUUAUC